GGCGAUUUGGCCGAGUGGUCUAAGGCGCCAGCUUCAGGUGCUGGUCUCGAAAGAGGCGUAGGUUCGAGUCCUACAGUCGUCA